UCCCACUGUGGGAAAGAAAGUGAUACACAGUUAAAUACCUCUUUCUUAACCAAGAAGAAAGUGGGCAUGUGUGUGACAGUGAAAA
rnacentral:snoRNA from 1 species